rnacentral:rRNA from 1 species
GACGAACGCUUGCGGCGUGCCUAAGAAAUGCAAGUCGAGCGAGGUUGAUGAGCUUGCUCUGAAAACCUAGCGGCGAACGGUCGCGUAACACGUAAGCAACCUGCCCCUAAGACCGGGAUAGCCCGCUGAAAGGUGGAUUAAUACCGGAUGUGGACACAUUGAGACAUCUCUGAUGUGUCUAAAUCAGGAAACUGGCUUAGGGAUGGGCUUGCGGCCUAUCAGCUAGUUGGUGGGGUAACGGCCUACCAAGGCGACGACGGGUAGCUGGUCUGAGAGGAUGGUCAGCCGGACUGGGACUGAGAUACGGCCCAGACUCCUACGGGGGGCAGCAAUUUGGAAUCUUGCGCAAUGGGGGAAACCCUGACGCAGCGACGCCGCGUGAAGGAUGAAGGCCUUCGGGUCGUAAACUUCUUUUAAGAGGGAAGAAGGAAGUGACGGUACCUCUUGAAUAAGCCCCGGCUAACUACGUGCCAGCCGCCGCCGUAAUAC